CUUCUUGGGCUCACAGGGCACAUCCCCCGAGGCAGAGCAAUGGAAUUCACACUGCCCGGGCUUUAAAGCCACACCUCUCAAUUUAAAAAGCUUAUCUGAAACUAAAUCUUUGUCUCCCUGGGCCGGGGCACCUCACAAAAGUAUUUUAUGAGAUCAGCUAGAAUAUUAUCCAUUCCAGCAUCUUAUGACUGAUGUAAUAAAAGAUAGCUUGCUAUUACAAAUCUGUAGAUUUAGGUAUUUUUCCAUAUUUUUUUUUUUUUUCAUCAGCCUCUGUCAUUCAACAUGUGUAAUGAACCCUUUCUCUCUGAGCAGUGAUGACUCCCAUGGAUUUCAGUGAAAACUGUUUAUGUCCAACACCUGUGAAAAGCCCUUCUGUCCCAGGCUGAUCACAUGGAAGCCCAGAGCUCAUUCUCCUCAGUUUGGGAGGAAUCAUGGCAUUCCUAUUUCCUAUUCUAUUGGAAAGCUUCCGUCUCAGCGGAAUUUCACACAUCAUCCCACCUCCCCACCCCCUAUGAUACCCUCAAGUUAUUAAUCUGCUUUUCUCAUAUGGAGAAUGGGAACAGUAAUUUCCCAGCUAAUCUAGUGAAAGAUGAACUCAGUGGGUUAACAAGGAUCCCCUGGCAGAGCACAGUGUGCUGUGUGUGAGCUGAAAGAGGAAACAUACGGGUGUGGAGUGAUUACAGAAAACGCAACCUGAGUGCUCUGGGGAAGGUGGGACUGCCAAGGACAGGAGAAAGAUGUCAAUGACCUGAGGAGGGCUGCUGGGCCUGGCUCGUGGAUGUAAAAGCCAGCUUAGGUUUUGAAUGAAAGUGUUGUGGAAUCAGAAGAAGACUGACCUUUUGUAGAACUAAAAAUAUGUGUGUGCAACACUGAAUAAUUUAAAAAAGGGCCAGCUGAAAUGCCUUCCUUCCCUAUAUAUGUGUGUAUAACCAAGAAAUAAAUUUUUUUUUUCUUGCAAAGGUGCAUAAUUUCACUGUGUUUUCUAAGUUGCUUCUGUUUACACAUUCAGCAC